AGCAGUUGGGACUGUUUAGGGGGAAUGGCUCUGAAGCUGCAGAGAGAGUGCUCUGCUCUGAUGCAAGCAAGAUACGUUCUGGAUUUAUCGUGAGCAAGAGGUGGAAUUAAUGCCCAGGAAGUGAUUCUUCUGUCCCGUGUUACACACUCCUCCAGCCCAGAAGUCCUUCAUUUUACGGCGCUGAUCUGGAGAGUUCGUACCAGCUUUUUCCAGUCUGAAUAGGAACCAUCACUCCAUCUCCACUCGCUGGUGCUGGAUCUUGCUCCAUUAUCUUCACAUUUCCAUACUGAGCCCUGUGACAGACACAAGGCUGAGGACUGCCAUAGAGAACAUACAUUAGGAAAAAAAAAAGAAAAAAAAUAGCCUCAGUUAUUUCAACAAAUACCAAAAGUGGAUUGAGAGUGGAUGAAGAGGAGGAGGAGGCAAUAGUGAACACACAACACAGUUCAAGCUGGCAAGGAGCCCUUUCUUGAAGAAUAGUACAAAAAUAUGUAUUUGUCUGCUUAUGUUCAGCAAAGUUACUUUGAAUGGCAGCCCCUUGCUUGACAAAAGCAGGAUGCUGCUGGCUGGGUCCGAGGGAGGCUCCGCUCUGCCCUGGCCGUGCCCGGAGCGGUCAGUGGAGGCUCUGGUGCAGCUAUUGCCCAAUAAAGCAAAUUCCUUGCCUGGCUGGCAUUCACUGCCUGCCUUCUGGUUGAAGGCUGCGUGCCCCAGACUUAAACAGCAGUCAGGCGGCUGGGGUGGGGGCUCCCAUAGCGUGCUGUCCACAACCGGCCCCUUUGUUCUGCGCGCCGCACCAGGUAUCUCUGCGGUUCUUGCAUGCUCGUUCUGGCCAGCGGAAGAAAGAGGCUCUGCUAGUGAAUUGCUGUGAGAAGCAAGCUAAAAUGAGGAGGAGGGAGGGAUGGGCCUGGUGUCACCGUGUCUGUCCACCUCCCCCCCACCCCAAGUGCAAAACAGUUAAUCUCACCUUUUGAUAGAGGCAACACAGAAAAAAAUUAGAGAGACAGCAGCAGACAAACAUCAGACCUGGCUGCUGCAAAUGGACAGGCUAGAUGUGCCCCCCAAAUCAGCUCCAGCUGUAAAACACUUCAGGGCUGAUAGAAACCACACGCAUCCCAGGCAUAACCGAUCUGCAAAGCUGCAUUCCAAUAAAAAUGCAGCAUAGACAUAAAAGAAAUACUGACUGGGAUUCCCAUCCUGAUUUGGGUGCCGGGGGAGGGAGCGGGGACGACACGACAGGGGAGGCAAUCCUUCCAGCCCUGGAUCUGUCCUCUCUCUGCCUGGGUGCAGGGCUGAGUAAGGAGCAGCUCGCUGAAUUGCAGAGGGAGGAGCGGAGCCUCCUUUAGCCGCUGCUGCAGCUCCCUGGUGUUUGGUUCCCAGAUCCCAGCCCUCAGAGGGCACAAAUCAAAGCAGCUAUACAGGCUAAUAGGGGAGGGUCAGGGUUAGCUGCAGGGUACAUCACUGACUGAAAUCACAUGCUGGAAUCCGAAUUUAAAUAAGCAUGCCUCACGUCUGAGGCUGUGCUGCAAAUGUCAAAUGUGCUUAUGUUAAAUACAGGUAAUAUUCUGAAUGUACGUUUGAGAACAUGAUUCUUUCAGAUACCUUGUCUGAUGAAUUUUGCAUCUCAUAUUUGUGAUUUAUUUUAUGCGAAGUACACACUCCCUUCUUCUUUCCACCUUUUGUGAAAACUCAAGUCUUAGAGGAAAUAAGAAUGUCUGUACAUAUAUAGAGAGGUAAAGGUGAACUAUUUGGUUAGCUGUAGCAAAGAUGCUACAUCAGAGCAGGUUUCUCACUGCUUAAAACACAGGCUGUGAGUCCAUGGUUACUCUGUUUUAAGUACAGCUGGUAUUGGUGCUUAACUGACCAAAGAAUUUGAUGCAGGCUUUUCUGCAAAUCUCCAUCUUAAUUCUAAAAUAAUUUGGAGGGGAAGAAGGCAGCUGGAAUAUUUUCUGAGGUGUUCUUGGUACGUGACUUAGGGUGAAAGGUGCUAGACGUGUAAUGCUGUGGUGUGUUUCUGGCCCAUGGAGGGGGAUGACUGUAGGGCUGCAGGAACCGUGGGCGAGGGUCCCUCUGCCUCAGUCCCAGCUCAGAAGACCCAGGCUGGCCUCAAGGCAGGCAUGUGCUUUUAGUCACCGUAUUGACACGCUCUGAAUUUUGUUAAAACUGCCCUGUAAAACAGAACUCUUUGCAGUGCUGAAAACAAUUUCAUUUUCUUUUCUAAUUUGGUGGGAAUUGUAAUUUUACUUUGUAACUUAUUUCCCUCUCUUCCCUUUUAAGAUGGUUCCCAAACAUUUAUUGUGGGAUUUUUCAUUUGAAAUAGUUUUCUAGGGAAAUUACUGUGACAGUGAUUUAAUUGUUUAAUUAAAAUCUGACAUUGAUGACAACAUAAAUACAAUAAGCAUGAGGUGAUACAGGCAUUAAACAAGUGCAAUUGUGGAACACAUCCAUAGAGUACUCGGAGCACACAGAGCAGCUCACAAAGAAAUGAUGUUCAAUAUUUAUCAGGUUAGUGAGUCCUAAUUAAAUGCC